UCCCUCUCAGGGUCGCACCUGGAGAGUUUCAAAUACACUACCAGUCUCGGCUACAGGAGGGAGAGCCUAGGAGAGGCCUACCCAUUCCAUUCCUAGCUCGGGCAGUGGCUAGCGAGUGGAAGGCAAUCUGCUACAAGU